rfam:Angiostrongylus cantonensis strain Taiwan genome assembly, scaffold: ACAC_contig0012181
GCCGCCAUAGCUCAGUCGGUUAGAGAGUGGGUCUAAUAAGCCCAAGGUCGCAGGUUCGACCCCUGCUGGCGGCA